ensembl:lncRNA
ACACUGCGGGUGGAUUUUUUUUACCAGCUGAGCCCCAAGGGUCCUCUUAUUAACAUUUUUGGUCCCCAGGCUUGAGUGUGUCAUCUGCUUGGACUGUGACCCUGCCAAAUACAGCACAUCAGGGCAUUUAUCCUAGGCCCCCACUAAAUGGUCAACGUGUGGAGAACUAAAAAUCCCUUUUCAUUCUUUUUGUGUCUGAGGGGGGAAAUCUGUCUCCUGCUUUUGGUCUUUCACUUUUCCUUUUUCUCCAGGAAAGAUUUUGAACUUUUAGCUCCUCUUCAACUUGCCCCAGUUGAGAGUGUUUAAAUAUCAACCUAUUUCCAGGGACAUGGAAAAUAUUAAGGAAUGCAUUCUCAGACUUAUCCUGCUGUGGGCUUCAUGCAAUAGAUUGAGAUCUGAGGGUCCUGGCUUCGUCUUGAAGGCAGGCGCAAUGGUACAAAAAUUUGCCUGCAAAGCAGGAGAUGCAAGUUUGAUCCCUGGGUCGGGAAGAUCCCCUAGAGAAGGAAAUGGCAGCCCACUCCAGUAUUCUUGCCUGGGAAAUCCCAUAGGCAGAGGAGCCUGGUGGGCUAUAGUCCAUGGGGUUGUAGAAGAGUCAGACAUGGCUAAGCAACUAAAGAACACCACCUAUGACUUUGAAUAAGUUUGUGUGUACAAUUCGGUGCAUGAGCACACAUCAGAAGCACAUGGCGAUGAAGAAGUGCUGUGGUGGGAGAUCUGAUCAAAGUUUCUCAAAACCGACUCCAAGUAUUUGAUGAAGAUUAACAUGGAGACGAUUUACCAAACAAAUACAGCAUAAAGAGCCAAGAGACCUUCUAAGGGACUUCAAGGCUCCAGCUUGCCCACAUAAAGAAUAUCAUUCAACAGAAAGAAAACAAAGACAAGAAUAAAUAUCUAAGAGCACUGAGUCUGUAGAACAACUGAACUGCCGAUUGAUGACUUUUCUGUUCUUUUUUUAAUAUAUACAUUAGAAGAUGCUUUCAGUUUUUAAAAGCAAACAAAGCCAUGAGUUUGAUCUGGGUCCUAACUGUGUAACUCUUUUAAGUGUUCUAAAAGAUGUCUGGACCAGAAUUGGUUAAUUAGCGCUUUGUGUUGCACUAUGUUACAUAUGACCUAACCAGAGAUAAAAAGGUUUAAAGGUCUCUUGUAACCCUGCAAUGCCAUUUGUAACACAAAAAUAACCCCCUUUCAUUACUAGCAUGCCACUGUAGCACGCAGGUUAUUUUUUCCCUUCACUGCAAUAAGGGCAGCUUUCGCAUCAGAAGAAUUCUUGGCAAAUUAAUGCGC